UGAAGAAGCCAUUUGCUUCUCCUUCAUCUUUCGUCGUGAUUGUAUGUUCCUGGGGCCCCCCCAGCCAAGCAGAACUCAAAAUGUGACUGAAAAACAGAAGCAUUUGGAAUACGUAACAGAAGUCAUUAAAAAGAGUGGUCCUGUCCCUGAGAUGUUGAAUCCUUUUUGAGAACUUUUCCCACUGGGGAUACUUUCUGCCCAUUUAAGUA
rnacentral:lncRNA from 1 species